rnacentral:rRNA from 1 species
GACGAACGCUGGCGGCGUGCCUAAUACAUGCAAGUUGAGCGCUGAAGGUUGGUACUUGUACCUACUGGAUGAGCAGCGAACGGGUGAGUAACGCGUGGGGAAUCUGCCUUUGAGCGGGGGACAACAUCUGGAAACGAAUGCUAAUACCGCAUAAAAACUUUAAACACAUGUUUUAAGAUUGAAAGAUGCAAUUGCAUCACUCAAAGAUGAUAUCGCGUUGUAUUAGCUAGUUGGUGAGGUAAAGGCUCACCAAGGCGAAGGUACAUAGCCGGACUGAGAGGGUGAUCGGCCACAAUGGGACUGAGACACCGCCCAAACUCCCACGGGGAGGAGCAGUAGGGAAUCUUCGGGCAUUGACGAAAGUCUUGCCGGACAACGCCGCGUGAGGGAAGAAGGUUUUCGGAUCGUAAAACUCUGUUGGUAGGGAAGAACGAUGGUGGGAGUGAAAAGCGCAUCAAGUGACGGUAACUACCCAGAAAGCGACGGCUAACUACGUG